rnacentral:rRNA from 1 species
UACGAAGGGGGCUAGCGUUGCUCGGAAUGACUGGGCGUAAAGGGCGCGUAGGCGGAUGGUACAGUCAGAUGUGAAAUUCCUGGGCUUAACCUGGGGGCUGCAUUUGAUACGUAUUGUCUAGAGUGAGGAAGAGGGUCGUGGAAUUCCCAGUGUAGAGGUGAAAUUCGUAGAUAUUGGGAAGAACACCGGUGGCGAAGGCGGCGACCUGGCUCACAACUGACGCUCAUACACGACAGCAUGGGGAGCGAACGGG